CAAUUAAAUGUUCAUUAAACCAUUUUGACUACGCAAACAAAAAACGCCCAUUACAAUUUGAUUGCUGCAAGCUCUUUCUCUAGUGCCAAGAUCCUAUCCUGCAGUUUGGAAAAGGGGACAGAGCAGCACCUCUUCCUACUUCCCUUGUGGCAACUUGUCAGGAACUGGGAUGAUGAAGUAAGGCACCAACUAUGAUUUCACAAGAGAGUAGGGGAGAACGGGUUCAAGCAUACCCCAGUGUUGUCCCUAGUUGAAAUGGGGGGGACGUUCCGCCAUCGGAGACGCUUUGGGCUGGUCAUUGGAAAACAUGCCGCAGAUGGAAAUGGUUUGGACAUCGUCGAUGAUGGGAUUAAGUCUUGGAAACAGAUGCUGCAGAUCGUCUUGGCGAAUCGGUCCCUCACCUUCGAAUGGUCGAGUUCCAUGGAUCGAUAGAGAGAGAAAUAGCUUUGAUUCUGUGGCCCCUCGGACCUGUUCUCCAGCAAGUCGACCAGAACCCUGAUCCCAGAGACUGCCCUGAGCACGUCGAGGCUCUUGGGGCACUCGGCCACCUGCACCGCCAUGGCAGUUGCUUCGUCAACGAUUCCAGCGAACAGCACCGGAAUCGGCACCGGAGACCUGUUCUACGGCGUGUUCUGAUGUCUAAAAGCUUUGAUCUACAAAUGGUAAAGCUUAAAUGGAGCAUGCAGGCAACACACACUGAUGCCCUGUUCACGAUGGUAUCCUCUAGUAAUACGGUGAACGGUAAAGGAAAAAGUUUUUAACUCCGCCAUUGGUUGAGGUUUUACUUGGCCAAUGCCAGUCCCAAGCCUGGAUAAAGGAGGAGGGUUUAAGUAUUUAUGUCUUUACUAUGUAGAGAUCAGGCCAUGCUUCUGCUGACCUUCUCAACAAUGGACCACAUAUUCUCAGUAUACUGGUAAGCAUGGAAGAAUCCGUCUCAUGCCGGACAUAGAAGCACACGAUACAAAAAAGAAUCUUAGAAACUGGACAGGUCUGAGUAUGGUUAAAGUUGGAGAAAAUGACGGACUUGACCUUGGUGGGGCCAACCACACUAGAGUAUAGAUGUUCUCUUCAAUCAAGAAAGUUCCUAGAGUUGGAGGGAAGCGAGGGAGGAGGGAUGGGGACUCCAUGAACAGUCUGUGGUCGUUCCCUCUCUCUCUCUCUCUCUCUCUCUCUCUCUCUCUCUCUCUCUUCAUUACAAAAUCAUCGCUAUCCCCUAAUUCAUGGGAAGACAUGAAGCAACUGUGUAAAUCAAUUAAAUGCUCAGCAAACCAUUUUAACUACACAAAGAAAAAAGGCCCAUUGCAAUUUGUUUGCGGCAAGCUCUUUCUCUAGGCUCUUUGGGCACUCGGCCACCUGCACUGCCAUGGCGGUUGCGUCGUCAACGUUUACAGCGAACAGCACCGGAAUCAGCACCGGAGACCUGUUCUAAGGCGUGUUCUGAUGUCUAGUAAAAGCUUUGAUCUACAAAUGGUAAGUUUAAAUGGAGCAUGCAGGCAACACAGAUCUAUUUCACAGAGCAACCCACCUAAGUUAGCUCACGAGAUCUAGAACCCAAUCAACAGCUUAUUUGUGCUAACAACCUGCAUCUUUUCUUAGACGAGGCAAGCUUAAUGAGAUUGAGUUCAGGUUGGUUGACCAAAAAUUAGCAUAGCGAAAGUAUCCUCCGUUCGAUAUUCUAUAGUUUUGGGUGAGCGAGAGGUGUUAACCUCCACUGCCCAAGCAAGGCCCGAAGACCCCCCCAUUCCUCCUGCUUUUGGGGUCCUGAGCUGCGUCGGUGUCAGCGAUAGCAAUGGUGUUGGUCAGUUAGACGAAUUGUGGCUGUAAAACUAGUAACACAAGUUAAAUUUUCAGUGUCCUUCUUGCACCGAGUCUUUUUCUUGCAUUUACUUUUCAGGUAUGAAGGACCUGCGGCAUUUUACUGGUGCUCCUGAUGCUGUUCUGCCUCCCACAUAAUCCUCUUGUGGAAGCAUCGCCAAUUGGUUGGUGGUAGACUUAUGAACCGGAGAGCUGGCCUUGAUUGAAGUAGACUUAUUAAACAUAUGGGUCGUUGUUUUUUUUUUUUUUUUUUUAUGUUAAAGGCAUUCGAGUAAUCUUGAAUCCCGGUUGUUUUCAAUGUUAAAGAGGCAUUUUAGCCAUUUUGAACACAAAACAGCAACCAACUUCAAAACAGUAACUUUGAUACUUUUCUAAAUUAUGCUUCUUGUGGAAGGGCUGAAAUAAUACAGGAACAUUGGAUCAGUCGGGGUCAACAUUGUCCAGACCU